AAGUCGUAACAAGGUCUCCGUAGGUGAACCUGCGGAGGGAUCAUUCACAUGAUAUACUUUAAACAAACUGUGAACUUUAUAUACUAUUCGUGUUUGUACACUAGUUGAUCAAACAUUGUCAUUCGAUUGAACAUAAGAUAGUUGGCUUGAAAUGUAACAAUUUCUUUCUCAGCUUUGAUUUGAUAUUACUAAACAUUUUAUCACUUCAACCAUAAAACAUAGAAACAACUCUAUGCCCUGGAUAUCUUGGUUCUC
rnacentral:misc_RNA from 1 species